GACGAACGCUGGCGGCGUGCUUAACACAUGCAAGUCGAACGGAAAGGCCCUGCUUUUGUGGGGUGCUCGAGUGGCGAACGGGUGAGUAACACGUGAGUAACCUGCCCUUGACUUUGGGAUAACUUCAGGAAACUGGGGCUAAUACCGGAUAGGAGCUCCUGCUGCAUGGUGGGGGUUGGAAAGUUUCGGCGGUUGGGGAUGGACUCGCGGCUUAUCAGCUUGUUGGUGGGGUAGUGGCUUACCAAGGCUUUGACGGGUAGCCGGCCUGAGAGGGUGACCGGCCACAUUGGGACUGAGAUACGGCCCAGACUCCUACGGGAGGCAGCAGUGGGGAAUAUUGCACAAUGGGCGGAAGCCUGAUGCAGCAACGCCGCGUGCGGGAUGACGGCCUUCGGGUUGUAAACCGCUUUCGCCUGUGACGAAGCGUGAGUGACGGUAAUGGGUAAAGAAGCACCGGCUAACUACGUGCCAGCAGCCGCGGUGAUACGUAGGGUGCGAGCGUUGUCCGGAUUUAUUGGGCGUAAAGGGCACGUAGGUGGUUGAUCGCGUCGGAAGUGUAAUCUUGGGGCUUAACCCUGAGCGUGCUUUCGAUACGGGUUGACUUGAGGAAGGUAGGGGAGAAUGGAAUUCCUGGUGGAGCGGUGGAAUGCGCAGAUAUCAGGAGGAACACCAGUGGCGAAGGCGGUUCUCUGGGCCUUUCCUGACGCUGAGGAGCGAAAGCGUGGGGAGCGAACAGGCUUAGAUACCCUGGUAGUCCACGCUGUAAACGGUGGGUACUAGGUGUGGGGUCCAUUCCACGGGUUCCGUGCCGUAGCUAACGCUUUAAGUACCCCGCCUGGGGAGUACGGCCGCAAGGCUAAAACUCAAAGGAAUUGACGGGGCCCCGCACAAGCGGCGGAGCAUGCGGAUUAAUUCGAUGCAACGCGUAGAACCUUACCUGGGUUUGACAUGGAUCGGGAGUGCUCAGAGAUGGGUGUGCCUCUUUUGGGGUCGGUUCACAGGUGGUGCAUGGCUGUCGUCAGCUCGCGUCGUGAGAUGUUGGGUUAAGUCCCGCAACGAGCGCAACCCUUGUUCACUGUUGCCAGCACGUUAUGGUGGGGACUCAGUGGAGACCGCCGGGGUCAACUCGGAGGAAGGUGGGGAUGACGUCAAGUCAUCAUGCCCCUUAUGUCCAGGGCUUCACGCAUGCUACAAUGGCUGGUACAGAGAGUGGCGAGCCUGUGAGGGUGAGCGAAUCUCGGAAAGCCGGUCUCAGUUCGGAUUGGGGUCUGCAACUCGACCUCAUGAAGUCGGAGUCGCUAGUAAUCGCAGAUCAGCAACGCUGCGGUGAAUACGUUCCCGGGGCU
rnacentral:rRNA from 1 species